UGAAGCGAUCAAAUCUUCUUGCCAAAGCCUGAUCGUGCCGGAUAUCAGAAGCUAAGCAGGGCUGGUCCUGGUUGGUACUUGGAUGGGUGACCACUGGGACUAGCAGGAGCCGCAGUGG
rnacentral:rRNA from 1 species